UACGUAGGGUGCAAGCGUUGUCCGGAAUCAUUGGGCGUAAAGAGCUCGUAGGCGGUUUGUCGCGUCGGCUGUGAAAACCUGGGGCUCAACCCCGGGCCUGCAGCCGAUACGGGCAAGCUAGAGUUCGGUAGGGGAGACUGGAAUUCCUGGUGUAGCGGUGAAAUGCGCAGAUAUCAGGAGGAACACCGAUGGCGAAGGCAGAUCUCUGGGCCGUAACUGACGCUGAGGAGCGAAAGCGUGGGGAGCGAACAGG
rnacentral:rRNA from 1 species